rnacentral:rRNA from 1 species
GGUUAAGCGACUAAGCGUACACGGUGGAUGCCCUGGCAGUCAGAGGCGAUGAAGGACGUGCUAAUCUGCGAUAAGCGUCGGUAAGGUGAUAUGAACCGUUAUAACCGGCGAUUUCCGAAUGGGGAAACCCAGUGUGUUUCGACACACUAUCAUUAACUGAAUCCAUAGGUUAAUGAGGCGAACCGGGGGAACUGAAACAUCUAAGUACCCCGAGGAAAAGAAAUCAACCGAGAUUCCCCCAGUAGCGGCGAGCGAACGGGGAGCAGCCCAGAGCCUGAAUCAGUGUGUGUGUUAGUGGAAGCGUCUGGAAAGGCGCGCGAUACAGGGUGACAGCCCCGUACACAAAAAUGCACAUGCUGUGAGCUCGAUGAGUAGGGCGGGACACGUGGUAUCCUGUCUGAAUAUGGGGGGACCAUCCUCCAAGGCUAAAUACUCCUGACUGACCGAUAGUGAACCAGUACCGUGAGGGAAAGGCGAAAAGAACCCCGGCGAGGGGAGUGAAAAAGAACCUGAAACCGUGUACGUACAAGCAGUGGGAGCACGCUUAGGCGUGUGACUGCGUACCUUUUGUAUAAUGGGUCAGCGACUUAUAUUCUGUAGCAAGGUUAACCGAAUAGGGGAGCCGAAGGGAAACCGAGUCUUAACUGGGCGUUAAGUUGCAGGGUAUAGACCCGAAACCCGGUGAUCUAGCCAUGGGCAGGUUGAAGGUUGGGUAACACUAACUGGAGGACCGAACCGACUAAUGUUGAAAAAUUAGCGGAUGACUUGUGGCUGGGGGUGAAAGGCCAAUCAAACCGGGAGAUAGCUGGUUCUCCCCGAAAGCUAUUUAGGUAGCGCCUCGUGAAUUCAUCUCCGGGGGUAGAGCACUGUUUCGGCAAGGGGGUCAUCCCGACUUACCAACCCGAUGCAAACUGCGAAUACCGGAGAAUGUUAUCACGGGAGACACACGGCGGGUGCUAACGUCCGUCGUGAAGAGGGAAACAACCCAGACCGCCAGCUAAGGUCCCAAAGUCAUGGUUAAGUGGGAAACGAUGUGGGAAGGCCCAGACAGCCAGGAUGUUGGCUUAGAAGCAGCCAUCAUUUAAAGAAAGCGUAAUAGCUCACUGGUCGAGUCGGCCUGCGCGGAAGAUGUAACGGGGCUAAACCAUGCACCGAAGCUGCGGCAGCGACGCUUAUGCGUUGUUGGGUAGGGGAGCGUUCUGUAAGCCUGUGAAGGUGUGCUGUGAGGCAUGCUGGAGGUAUCAGAAGUGCGAAUGCUGACAUAAGUAACGAUAAAGCGGGUGAAAAGCCCGCUCGCCGGAAGACCAAGGGUUCCUGUCCAACGUUAAUCGGGGCAGGGUGAGUCGACCCCUAAGGCGAGGCCGAAAGGCGUAGUCGAUGGGAAACAGGUUAAUAUUCCUGUACUUGGUGUUACUGCGAAGGGGGGACGGAGAAGGCUAUGUUGGCCGGGCGACGGUUGUCCCGGUUUAAGCGUGUAGGCUGGUUUUCCAGGCAAAUCCGGAAAAUCAAGGCUGAGGCGUGAUGACGAGGCACUACGGUGCUGAAGCAACAAAUGCCCUGCUUCCAGGAAAAGCCUCUAAGCAUCAGGUAACAUCAAAUCGUACCCCAAACCGACACAGGUGGUCAGGUAGAGAAUACCAAGGCGCUUGAGAGAACUCGGGUGAAGGAACUAGGCAAAAUGGUGCCGUAACUUCGGGAGAAGGCACGCUGAUAUGUAGGUGAAGUCCCUCGCGGAUGGAGCUGAAAUCAGUCGAAGAUACCAGCUGGCUGCAACUGUUUAUUAAAAACACAGCACUGUGCAAACACGAAAGUGGACGUAUACGGUGUGACGCCUGCCCGGUGCCGGAAGGUUAAUUGAUGGGGUUAGCGGUAACGCGAAGCUCUUGAUCGAAGCCCCGGUAAACGGCGGCCGUAACUAUAACGGUCCUAAGGUAGCGAAAUUCCUUGUCGGGUAAGUUCCGACCUGCACGAAUGGCGUAAUGAUGGCCAGGCUGUCUCCACCCGAGACUCAGUGAAAUUGAACUCGCUGUGAAGAUGCAGUGUACCCGCGGCAAGACGGAAAGACCCCGUGAACCUUUACUAUAGCUUGACACUGAACAUUGAGCCUUGAUGUGUAGGAUAGGUGGGAGGCUUUGAAGUGUGGACGCCAGUCUGCAUGGAGCCGACCUUGAAAUACCACCCUUUAAUGUUUGAUGUUCUAACGUUGACCCCUAAUCGGGGUUGCGGACAGUGUCUGGUGGGUAGUUUGACUGGGGCGGUCUCCUCCUAAAGAGUAACGGAGGAGCACGAAGGUUGGCUAAUCCUGGUCGGACAUCAGGAGGUUAGUGCAAUGGCAUAAGCCAGCUUGACUGCGAGCGUGACGGCGCGAGCAGGUGCGAAAGCAGGUCAUAGUGAUCCGGUGGUUCUGAAUGGAAGGGCCAUCGCUCAACGGAUAAAAGGUACUCCGGGGAUAACAGGCUGAUACCGCCCAAGAGUUCAUAUCGACGGCGGUGUUUGGCACCUCGAUGUCGGCUCAUCACAUCCUGGGGCUGAAGUAGGUCCCAAGGGUAUGGCUGUUCGCCAUUUAAAGUGGUACGCGAGCUGGGUUUAGAACGUCGUGAGACAGUUCGGUCCCUAUCUGCCGUGGGCGCUGGAGAACUGAGGGGGGCUGCUCCUAGUACGAGAGGACCGGAGUGGACGCAUCACUGGUGUUCGGGUUGUCAUGCCAAUGGCAUUGCCCGGUAGCUAAAUGCGGAAGAGAUAAGUGCUGAAAGCAUCUAAGCACGAAACUUGCCCCGAGAUGAGUUCUCCCUGACUCCUUGAGAGUCCUGAAGGAACGUUGAAGACGACGACGUUGAUAGGCCGGGUGUGUAAGCGCAGCGAUGCGUUGAGCUAACCGGUACUAAUGAACCGUGAGGCUUAACCUU